rnacentral:rRNA from 1 species
AGUGAACGCUGGCGGUAGGCCUAACACAUGCAAGUCGAACGGCAGCACAGGAGAGCUUGCUCUCUGGGUGGCGAGUGGCGGACGGGUGAGGAAUACAUCGGAAUCUACUCUGUCGUGGGGGAUAACGUAGGGAAACUUACGCUAAUACCGCAUACGACCUACGGGUGAAAGCAGGGGAUCUUCGGACCUUGCGCGAUUGAAUGAGCCGAUGUCGGAUUAGCUAGUUGGCGGGGUAAAGGCCCACCAAGGCGACGAUCCGUAGCUGGUCUGAGAGGAUGAUCAGCCACACUGGAACUGAGACACGGUCCAGACUCCUACGGGAGGCAGCAGUGGGGAAUAUUGGACAAUGGGCGCAAGCCUGAUCCAGCCAUACCGCGUGGGUGAAGAAGGCCUUCGGGUUGUAAAGCCCUUUUGUUGGGAAAGAAAUCCAGCUGGUUAAUACCCGGUUGGGAUGACGGUACCCAAAGAAUAAGCACCGGCUAACUUCGUGCCAGCAGCCGCGGUAAUACGAAGGGUGCAAGCGUUACUCGGAAUUACUGGGCGUAGAGCGUGCGUAGGUGGUUAUUUAAGUCCGUUGUGAAAGCCCUGGGCUCAACCUGGGAACUGCAGUGGAUACUGGAUGACUAGAAUGUGGUAGAGGGUAGCGGAAUUCCUGGUGUAGCAGUGAAAUGCGUAGAGAUCAGGAGGAACAUCCAUGGCGAAGGCAGCUACCUGGACCAACAUUGACACUGAGGCACGAAAGCGUGGGGAGCAAACAGG